rnacentral:siRNA from 1 species
UGAUCAGGCCAAAAUCUACACGAC